CGUUGGUGGAUGGAGCGAGACAUGAUGUCCCAGAUGUGCUCAAUUGGAUUCAGGUCUGGGGAAUGGGCGGGCCAGUCCAUAGCAUCAAUGCCUUCCUCUGGCAGGAACUGCUGACACACUCCAGCCACAUGAGGUCUAGCAUUGUCUUGCAUUAGGAGGAACCCAGGGCCAACCGCACCAGCAUAUGGUCUCACAAGGGGUCUGAGGAUCUCAUCUCGGUACCUAAUGGCAGUCAGGCUACCUCUGGCAAGCACAUGGAGGGCUGUGCGGCCCCACAAAGAAAUGCCACCCCUCCAGCAUGACCGACCCACUGCCAAACCGGUCAUGCUGGAGGAUGUUGCAGGCAGCAGAACGUUCUCCACGCGUCUCCAGACUGUCACGUCUGUCACAUGUGCUCAGUGUGAACCUGCUUUCAUCUGUGAAGAGCACAGGGCACCAGUGGCACAUUUUCCAAUCUUGGUGUUCUCUGGCAAAUGCCAAACGUCCUGCACGGUGUUUGGCUGUAAGCAUAACCCCCACCUGUGGACGUCGGGCCCUCAUACCACCCUCAUGGAGUCUGUUUCUGACCGUUUGAGCAGACACAUGCACAUUUGUGGCCUGCUGGAAGUAAUUUUGCAGGGCUCUGGCAGUGCUCCUCCUUGCACAAAGGCGGAGGUAGCGGUCCUGCUGCUGGGUUGUUGCCCUCCUACGGCCUCCUCCACGUCUCCUGAUGUACUGGCCUGUCUCCUGGUAGCGCCUCCAUGCUCUGGACACUACGCUGACAGACACAGCAAACCUUCUUGCCACAGCUCGCAUUGAUGUUCCAUCCUGGAUGAGCUGCACUACCUGAGCCACUUGUGUGGGUUGUAGACUCCGUCUCAUUUCACCACUAGAGUGAAAGCACCGCCAGCAUUCAAAAGUGACCAAAACAUCAGCCAGGAAGCAUAGGAACGGAGAAGUGGUCUGUCGUCUCCACCUGCAGAACCACUCCUUUAUUGGGGGUGUCUUGCUAAUUGCCUAUAAUUUCCACCUGUUGUCUAUUCCAUUUGCACAACAGCAUGUGAAAUUUAUUGUCAAUCAGUGUUGCUUCCUUAGUGGACAGUUUGAUUUCACAGAAGUGUGAUUGACUUGGAGUUACAUUGUGUUGUUGAAGUGUUCCCUUUAUUUUUUUGAGCAGUGUAUUUUGUCUUUCCCAUUCAUCCUCUGAAUGGCACACACAAUCCGUGUCUCAAUUGUCUCGAGGCUUAAAAAUCAUUCUUGAACGUGUCUCCUCCCCUUCAUCUACGCUGAUUGAAGUGAAUUUAACAGGUGACUUCAAGAAGGGAUCAUGGUUUUCCCCUGGUUUCACCUUGUCAGUCUGUCAUUGAAAGAGCAUGUUUUGUACACAGUGCAUACUCAUUGAUUCUUGAAGAAUAUAACUAUAACAGCUGUCGUACCCCAUCACUAACUUGUUUUACUCUAGUGUUUGUAAACUAUAAAUGUAAACAAACACUUUAGCCUCAAAAACAUGGUUCAAACGAUGUUAUAUCAUGGAUGGUUCGUCCUUGUAUCCAUAGCUCUGCCUAUGAAUUUAAGAGUGGUUACGUUUCCACAUCCCCUCCCUCAGCUUUUUUCCAAAACAGUGGGGGGUUGACUGCUUUGCAACUAUUUAAAUUGCGGAUUGGCCCACUUUAAUUGCAUACUGGCGUAAAUGUCUCUCAUUGCACAAUUUCAUCAACUGAUGAGUGCAGUGUAAAAUCCAUUUCAAUGCAGAUUAAUGUUGACCACCUUAGCCAAGCCCUUGUCCUUGAAGAGGUUGAGUGGGUUUGCAUGCAAUUUUCCCUCUCCCUUUGUUUUCUUAUCAUUUCUUUGUUUCACUAAGUGAAACCCAUGUUUACUUUUAAUGUCUAAGAUUGAUAUUUGUUUGACUGCAUUUUUUAGGGGUCAAAUUCUGAACAUGAAUACCAUUUUGAGAGCUUCCUGAACCAAUUAGAUCCAACCUGGAAAGUGAAACCUUGAAGUGUUUUUUUGGACCAAUGCAGAGUAGACUUGCGUGCAAAAUAGGGAUUAGUGUUCCAUUAGACAUUUCAGCCAAAAGGUGGGAUAUCCAUAAGUGCCCCAUUCAUGUGACGCGUUCUUACACGCUAGUUCUGCGACACGGCACAGAACCACCUUGAGUUUAGAGUCUGGUUUCCUAGUGUAAAGUGUGUUUUUUUUUACUCUCUCACUUUGUCUCAUGGCUUUUUCUCUGUUAUUCUUUUGUAAAAAUGUUAUGGUCCCUUGCCUCUUUUGAAUGUUGAAUCGGCUCAUUUGAAAUGGUCUUCGUAAGGAAUUUCUCCAGUCACAAUAUUCAUUUUCUCACGUAAUCUCUUCUCCUUUUUAUUUACUGUCUCCCUUUUGAGAGACCUUUCGUAUUUGCCAUGUAAACAUUGGAAAAGUCCCCAUCAGUAGCCACCCGCUCUGCAUUGUCCAAGACACGGCCUUGCUACCUGUAUUUACUCUUGGGGGCUCGUGCUGGUGUGAAUGCCUGAAAUGUAACUCAUGUGGGCGGUCAAGGUUAACACGUGACAGCGUAAUGCUCCCCUAGCAUAAGGUUAGUCAUGAGACAAGGAGGCAGAAAUGUCAGUGUUCACUGUUUGUUUUCCUCCGUGUUCAUCCACAGCGAUUGCUCCCCCCCGCACAAAAACCUUACUCUGCAAAUUAUAUAAGUGUUGUGCAAUAUUAAGGAUGCCCAUACCAUUUGCUCACAACUAGUGUUUUUUCCCCUUCCCAGAAGAUUCAGUUGAGUCUGACGUGUCUUGUUCGUGGACAGAUACCUUUCAUCUUGUUAUUUGCCUGCUAUCCAUAUUGAAUCCACACUCCUCUACAUUCUGACUCUUGAAUGUUGUUUCCAAUGUGCUGAAUACAGCAUGGAUCCGAUAUGGACACCAGGUGACCUUAUUAGUGCAUAUCUGUACUUUCUUCACCAGGAAAAAAACUAGUUGCUAAUAUGGCCCCAAUUGUAUUACAAAGGUGUUCAUGAGCAUAAGCGCUUAAUGCUCCAUGGCUGUGUUAGCGUAAUCUUUAGUGUUGCUUACAUUAUCUUAGUGUUUAUUUUUAGAGUGUGUACAUUUUGUGUGCACCGACACCCUAUGUAAAUAUCCUAAAUCAUCACACUUUCACCAUCUACAGUAAAAUGGUACAUUAUAUUCACAUCUUUCUACAGAACAGGUAUGUGAACUACUGGAAAAUGGUUAGUGUGUUCCAGAAAAUUGUCCAACUGUCUGUUAGAGUUGAACUCUGUACUCGAUCUGAGGCUACACCAGUCACAAAUGGUUUCACCAGACCACUUGAGUGCAGCAUUGUUUUAAUGCAGCUAUGGUACUUUUCUAGAUUCUGAUUAAAUUAAACCGUUUUAAAUGUUUCAACAUUAUCAACAAAGAACAAGUUAUGUUGGUUGGACUAUGUUUUAAGUUUUACUCCUGUCAUUGCUACUUUGUGUAAAAUGUACUCCAUCUUUUGUUUUUAUUAUUAAAUUAUUGCAAUUUUUAUGAUUGUUUUGUACAUGAAAUCACAGCAAAACUGUAUAUAUUUCAUUUUGAAUAAACAUAUUUAUAAAGUG